rnacentral:rRNA from 1 species
UGGGACGAAGCCCUUCGGGGUGUAAACCACUGUCAGAGGAUAGAAAGUUCUGAUCAUCCUCAGAGGAAGGCACGGCUAACUCUGUGC